CAUAUCAACUUUCGAUGCCACUUUCUGUGCCUACCAUGGUGACCACGGGUAACGGAGAAUCAGGGUUCGAUUCUG
rnacentral:rRNA from 1 species